UGUUUUCUUUACAAAAAUAUU
rnacentral:piRNA from 1 species